UGCCAGCAGCCGCGGUAAUACGUAGGUGGCAAGCGUUAUCCGGAAUUAUUGGGCGUAAAGCGCGCGCAGGUGGUUUCUUAAGUCUGAUGUGAAAGCCCACGGCUCAACCGUGGAGGGUCAUUGGAAACUGGGAGACUUGAGUGCAGAAGAGGAAAGUGGAAUUCCAUGUGUAGCGGUGAAAUGCGUAGAGAUAUGGAGGAACACCAGUGGCGAAGGCGACUUUCUGGUCUGUAACUGACACUGAGGCGCGAAAGCGUGGGGAGCAAACAGGAUUAGAUACCCUGGUAGUCCACGCCGUAAACGAUGAGUGCUAAGUGUUAGAGGGUUUCCGCCCUUUAGUGCUGAAGUUAACGCAUUAAGCACUCCGCCUGGGGAGUACGGCCGCAAGGCUGAAACUCAAAGGAAUUGACGGGGGCCCGCACAAGA
rnacentral:rRNA from 1 species